rnacentral:misc_RNA from 1 species
UUUCCGUAGGUGAACCUGCGGAAGGAUCAUUAGUAAGAAUCAUGCGCUCUCUUUUGCCUCUCUUCGGAGGGGGUUUGAGAUGCCAUCUCUCUUCACUACCCUGUGCACCGUGCAUUUUUUUAUCGCGCUUCUAAGUCAUUGGAUGUCAAUUACACUUAUAAAGGCACAAAAUUCAGCAGUGGAUCUCUUGGCUCUCGCAUCGAUGAAGAACGCAGC